UAAAAAUGGAGUCCAGAAACCAUAAAAAACGGGGCGGAACUGAAAAGCCAUAAGAGUAAGAAAACA
rfam:Pedobacter ginsenosidimutans strain KACC 14530 contig03, whole genome shotgun sequence.